rnacentral:rRNA from 1 species
CCCGCACAAGCGGAGGAACAUGUGGUUUAAUUCGAUGAUACGCGAGGAACCUUACCUGGGCUUAAAUGUAGAGUGCAUUUUCUAGAGAUAGGAAUUCCCUUCGGGGCUUUCUACAAGGUGCUGCAUGGCUGUCGUCAGCUCGUGCCGUGAGGUGUCGGGUUAAGUCCCAUAACGAGCGCAACCCUUAUCGUUAGUUGCCAUCUGGUAAAGCAGGGGACUCUAGCGAAACUGCCACCGUAAGGUGAGAGGAAGGUGGGAUGACGUCAAAUCAGCACGGCCCUUAUGUCCAGGGCUACACACGUGUUACAAUGGUCGGUACAGAGGGCAGCUACCUGGUGACAGGAUGCUAAUCUCGAAAACCGGCCUCAGUUCGGAUCGAAGUCUGCAACUCGACUUCGUGAAGCUGGAUUCGCUAGUAAUCGCGCAUCAGCCAUGGCGCGGUCGAAUACGUUCCCGGGCCUU